CCUACGGGUGGCAGCAGUGAGGAAUAUUGGGCAAUGGACGAGAGUCUGAACCAGCCAAGUAGCGUGAAGGAUGACUGCCCUAUGGGUUGUAAACUUCUUUUAUAAAGGAAUAAAACGAGUCACGUGUGCCUUUUUGCAUGUACUUUAUGAAUAAGGAUCGGCUAACUCCGUGCCAGCAGCCGCGGUAAUACGGAGGAGACGAGCGUUAUCCGGAUUUAUUUGGUUUAAAGGGAGCGUAGAUGGGUUGUUAAGUCAGUUGUGAAAGUUUGCGGCUCAACCGUAAAAUUGCAAUUGAUACUGGCAGUCUUGAGUACAGUUGAGGUAGGCGGAAUUCGUGGUGUAGCGGUGAAAUGCUUAGAUAUCACGAAGAACCCCGAUUGCGAAGGCAGCUUACUAGACUAUGACUGACAUUGAUGCUCGAAAGUGUGGGUAUCAAACAGGAUUAGAUACCCGAGUAGUC
rnacentral:rRNA from 1 species